rnacentral:rRNA from 1 species
AUGGCGCGCGCUGGGAAGAUCCCGGGGGAGACGGGGUUCAACCUGCUGCAGAGGGACGUUGCCCUGUACUACAAGACUGUGCCGGCCGUGGUGAAGCACUCCUCGGAGGCGCUGCUACUCGUGGUGUCCAACCCCGUCGAUGUCUUCCCCUACCUCGCCUUGCAGCUAUCAGGGUUGGGUUCCAGGCGAGUGCCGUCAUUUGCUCCUCCAGGUUCUGGUUCCUCAUCAACGAGCCCCCCGCCAUCAACACACAGGACAUGCAGUUUGUUUGAUGGUUUCCAGAAGAAGGUAGCAUAUGCAACAGGCCUUCCAGAUACUCUUCAUAUUUGUGAAAGUAUUUCUAAAUAUGCUACCAAGUUUAAUGGAAGAAAUCCUACAAAUGAAAUAGCAAUAAUGUUAGGCAAGGAUUCCCAGACCACCACAGUGUCCCCUUCAACCGCGAACCAGUUUACUGCUGCGCCUCCGCAACCUUAUGGGUCGCCGUAG